CACUAGCCCAGAAUGUAGUGUAAAGCCCGCAGCCCCAAAAGGGAUUUUUUUGUUGCUGCAAAAGAGCGACCAGCGGAAGCUCCUUUUGUGGCAAACAAAAAACCCUUUUGGGGCGAGUACUUGAAACGGAAUGCUGGAUGGGCU
rnacentral:sRNA from 1 species